UUUUAGAGUUUGAUCCUGGCUCAGGAUGAACGCUGGCGGCAUGCCUAAUACAUGCAAGUCGAACGGGGUGCUUGCACCCAGUGGCGAACGGGUGAGUAACACGUAUCUAAUCUACCUUUUAGUGGGGGAUAACAGUUGGAAACGACUGCUAAUACCGCAUACGACAUCAUUAUCGCAUGAGAAGAUGUUGAAAGGCCCGUUUGGGUCGCUAGAAGAUGAGGAUGCGGCGUAUUAGCUAGUAGGUGGGGUAAAGGCCCACCUAGGCGAUGAUACGUAGCCGAACUGAGAGGUUGAUCGGCCACAUUGGGACUGAGAUACGGCCCAGACUCCUACGGGAGGCAGCAGUAGGGAAUUUUUCACAAUGGGCGAAAGCCUGAUGAAGCAAUGCCGCGUGAGUGAUGACGGUCUUCGGAUUGUAAAGCUCUGUUGUAAGGGAAGAACAGCUAGAAGAGGAAAUGCUUUUAGUUUGACGGUACCUUACCAGAAAGCGCCACGGCUAA
rnacentral:rRNA from 1 species